GAAAGGUGGGCCCACGCCCAGGAAGAGGAGCCUCACCGCACUUCCCUGCUGCAGGAGGCCUAGAGGAAGUGAAGCAAAGGAAGAAGUGGUCAGAGCACACAGCUGUUGCUAAGACCAUGGAGGAAUAUUGACUGUUCAAGGAACCACAAGAACGCAAAGAAGGAGGAACAAAUGGGGGAUGAUGAAAUAAACAGGCAGCAGGUGCACAGACUCCUCGCAAUGCAAGGCCACUGCCAGGGAAUGCUGGAGGGGUGAUGCUAGCAAUUGAAGAUUGUCUCUCCUACCCUCUUCAAUGCCUCUUUCAGCAAUAUGAAGUUAAAACCAGAUUAGUGUUGGGUCUGAAGUUCCAAAUCCUGCUGCCUCUGUGAAGUCUUUCUGCUCAUGCUAGAAGCAAUAUCACCUCUUCUAGAAUUGUAAAGUGCCAUUUUCCAUACCACUUAUAAUAUACUGUCUUGUAGAUGUUUUUCUGUCGUCUGUAUUUCAUCCCUCUAAUAGAUGAUAAAUUUCUAGAGGAUGCCUCCCACAGAAAAAGUGCUCAAUAAAUAUCUGUCAUUGGUGAAAACAGAUUAUAGAUGAUAUUUUGUUGGAAGAUUGGAGGCAAAGUCUCAAAGAUAAUAUCAUCCUCUAUGCCACUGAGAGUAUUAGUAAGGCAGUAUUUCUGAAAGAGCACUCCACCACUACCUCUGGGAUUUUCUUGCAAGCUACUGAUACCAUCUUUGCAAGAAUGGAGGCAAACAUUCAGGCUACCAGAAUUUAAUCUCUGUAAUUUCCUUGCCAACAGCCAUAAUAAAUGCUUCUUGUUUUCAGGUGAGGUGAAAUGUGAAAAAGUGUUCAUCAGAAUUGGUGAAAUAUGGCAAUUACAACUUUAUUUAAAACAAUGCACGUCACUUUUUGAAAAUAUUUGAAAACUUCUGCUAUAGUCAAAAGAACCUUGGUCUUAAGGAAUCAGAGGACCUGGGUUGAAUACUAGUUCUCUUGACUACCUAUGGCAAGUAACAUAAACUGUCUUAACUUCCUCUGAGGAAUAAGCAAUUUACCUUGUGGGGUGAUUGCAAGAAUUAAAAGAAAAUUUAAAUUCCACAAAAGCAGAAAUAAUUCUAUCCUGUUUGCCACGAUCUUUCUAUUCUCUCAAGAAGUAACAGGGACCUAGAAAGAAUAAAUGAAACAAUGAAUGAACAGUUAAUACAUAGCAAACUACAUGUAGAACUGUCUGUGUUGGAAUGUUGCCAUGGUGGAAGGCAGUAUGUUCUAGGAGAAAAUGCAGCAAAAAAUGUUUCAGUAAGGAACAUUCUUUAGUCCCUCUCUCUAUUUUUCCCCAGUCAUUUUGUGGUUUUGGCUGCUAUUGGCUUGUAUCUGCUUCCCAAAUGCUAGUAAUUUCUUCCAAUCUAAAGUUGCUUGUUUAUUUUCUUGUAUAUUGUAAAACAAAGGCAACAUAAUUGCAGGCCAGAAAGCUAUUUUCUCACUCUUGAAUUCUUAAAAAUGUCAUUUGUUCUAGGUUUUUUUCGCAUGUAUUUAUUAUUGAAAUAUUAAGAGACACAAAAAACAUGGAAAAGAAAAAAAUCAUUAUUUCAAAUUCCUAACCUAGAGAGAAUAAUUACUAAUACUUUUUCUUACUUAAUUGGCA
rnacentral:lncRNA from 1 species